rnacentral:rRNA from 1 species
GACGAACGCUGGCGGCGUGCUUAACACAUGCAAGUCGAACGGAAAGACCCUGCUUUUGUGGGGUGCUCGAGUGGCGAACGGGUGAGUAACACGUGAGUAACAUGCCCUUGACUUUGGGAUAACUUCAGGAAACUGGGGCUAAUACCGGAUAGGAGAUCCUGCUGCAUGGUGGGGGUUGGAAAGUUUCGGCGGUUGGGGAUGGACUCGCGGCUUAUCAGCUUGUUGGUGGGGUAGUGGCUUACCAAGGCUUUGACGGGUAGCCGGCCUGAGAGGGUGACCGGCCACAUUGGGACUGAGAUACGGCCCAGUCGCCUACGGGAGGCAGCAGUGGGGAGUAUUGCACAAUGGGCGGAAGCCUGAUGCAGCAACGCCGCGUUCGGAAUAACGGCCUUCGGGUUGUAAACCGCUUUCGCCUGUGACGAAGCGUGAGUGACGGUAAUGGGUAAAGAAGCACCGGCUAACUACGUG